UACAGAGGUCUCAAGCGUUUGUUCGGGAUUCAUUGGGCGUAAAGGGUGCGUAGGCGGCGCGGUAAGUCGGGUGUGAAUCUCGGGGCUUAACUCCGAAACUGCAUUCGAUACUGCCGUGCUUGAGGACUGGAGAGGAGACUGGAAUUUACGGUGUAGCGGUGAAAUGCGUAGAUAUCGUAAGGAAGACCAGUGGCGAAGGCGGGUC
rnacentral:rRNA from 1 species